AAAUUGAAGAGUUUGAUCAUGGCUCAGAUUGAACGCUGGCGGCAGGCCUAACACAUGCAAGUCGAACGGUAACAGGAAACAGCUUGCUGUUUCGCUGACGAGUGGCGGACGGGUGAGUAAUGUCUGGGAAACUGCCCGAUGGAGGGGGAUAACUACUGGAAACGGUAGCUAAUACCGCAUAACGUCGCAAGACCAAAGAGGGGGACCUUCGGGCCUCUUGCCAUCGGAUGUGCCCAGAUGGGAUUAGCUAGUAGGUGGGGUAACGGCUCACCUAGGCGACGAUCCCUAGCUGGUCUGAGAGGAUGACCAGCCACACUGGAACUGAGACACGGUCCAGACUC
rnacentral:rRNA from 2 species